UGAGGAAUAUUGGGUCAAUGGGCGAGAGCCUGAACCAGCCAAGUAGCGUGCAGGACGACGGCCCUAUGGGUUGUAAACUGCUUUUAUAAGGGAAUAAAGUGGGUCUCGUGAGACUUUUUGCAUGUACCUUAUGAAUAAGGACCGGCUAAUUCCGUGCCAGCAGCCGCGGUAAUACGGAAGGUCCGGGCGUUAUCCGGAUUUAUUGGGUUUAAAGGGAGCGUAGGCCGGAGAUUAAGCGUGUUGUGAAAUGUAGUGGCUCAACCUCUGCACUGCAGCGCGAACUGGUCUUCUUGAGUACGCACAACGUGGGCGGAAUUCGUGGUGUAGCGGUGAAAUGCUUAGAU
rnacentral:rRNA from 1 species